CGAAAAUUGGUUUGAACGAGAUCUAGUAAGUAGGUUCCCCAUACAUACAACUGAAACUCAAAAAUUUUUUUUUCAUCAAACCCAUACGUGUGGGGUAUCUAUGGAUAGGUCUUCAAAAAUGAUAUUGAGGUUUCUAAUAUCAUUUUCUUCUAAACUGAAUAGUUUGCGCGAGAGACACUUCCAAAGUGGUAAAAUGUGUCGUCCCCCCCCCCCCCUGUAACUUCUAAAAUAAGAGAAUGAUAAAACUAAAACAAAUAUAUGAUGUACAUUACCAUGCAAACUUCCACCGAAAAUUGGUUUGAACAAGAUUUGGUAAGUAGUUUUUUUUUAAUACGUCAUAAA